rnacentral:rRNA from 1 species
GACGAACGCUGGCGGCGUGCUUAACACAUGCAAGUCGAACGGAAAGGCCCUGCUUUUGUGGGGUUCUCGAGUGGCGCACGUGUGAGUAACACGUGAGUAUCCUGCCCUUGACUUUGGGAUAACUUCAGGAAACUGGGGCUAAUACCGGAUAGGAGCUCCUGCUGCAUGGUGGGGGUUGGAAAGUUUCGGCGGUUGGGGAUGGACUCGCGGCUUAUCAGCUUGUUGGUGGGGUAGUGGCUUACCAAGGCUUUGACGGAUAGCCGGCCUGAGAGGGUGACCGGCCACAUUGGGACUGAGAUACGGCCCAGACUCCUACGGGAGGCAGCAGGGGGGAAUAUUGCACAAUGGGCGGAAGCCUGAUGCAGCAACGCCGCGUGCGGGAUGACGGCCUUCGGGUUGUAAACCGCUUUCGCCUGUGACGAAGCGUGAGUGACGGUAAUGGGUAAAGAAGCACCGGCUAACUACGUG